ACUACGGGAGGCUGCAGUAGGGAAUAUUGCUCAAUGGGGGAAACCCUGAAGCAGCAACGCCGCGUGGAGGAUGAAGGUCUUCUGAUUGUAAACUCCUUUUGUUAGAGAAGAUAAUGACGGUAUCUAACGAAUAAUCACCGGCUAACUCCGUGCCAGCAGCCGCGGGACUACGGAGGGUGCAAGCGUUACUCGGAAUCACUGGGCGUAAAGAGCGCGUAGGCGGGAUAGCAAGUCCGCUGUGAAAUCCUAUGGCUUAACCAUAGAACUGCAAUUGAAACUGUUAUUCUAGAGUAUGGGAGAGGUAGGUGGAAUUCUUGGUGUAGGGGUAAAAUCCGUAGAGAUCAAGAAGAAUACUCAUUGCGAAGGCGACCUGCUAGAACAUAACUGACGCUGAGGCACGAAAGCGUGGGUAUCGAACAGGAUUAGAUACCCGGGUAGUC
rnacentral:rRNA from 1 species